GAUGAACGCUGGCGGCGUGCCUAAUACAUGCAAGUCGAGCGAACGGACGAGAAGCUUGCUUCUCUGAUGUUAGCGGCUGACGGGUGAGUAACACGUGGAUAACCUACCUAUAAGACUGGGAUAACUUCGGGAAACCGGAGCUAAUACCGGAUAAUAUUUUGAACCGCAUGGUUCAAAAGUUAAAGACGGUCUUGCUGUCACUUAUAGAUGGAUCCGCGCUGCAUUAGCUAGUUGGUAAGGUAACGGCUUACCAAGGCAACGAUGCAUAGCCGACCUGAGAGGAUGAUCGGCCACACUGGAACUGAGACACGGUCCAGACUCCUACGGGAGGCAGCAGUAGGGAAUCUUCCGCAAUGGGCGAAAGCCUGACGGAGCAACGCCGCGUGAGUGAUGAAGGUCUUCGGAUCGUAAAGCUCUGUUAUUAGGGAAGAACAUAUGUGUAAGUAACUGUGCACAUCUUGACGGUACCUAAUCAGAAAGCCACGGCUAACUACGUG
rnacentral:rRNA from 1 species